GGGGAGGGUUCAUUGGAAAACUGGGGAACUUUGAGUGCAGAAAGAGGAGAGUUGGAAUUCCACGUGUAGCGGUGAAAUCGCGUAGAGAUGUGGAGGAACACCAGUGGCGAAGGCGACUCUCUGGUCUGUAACUGACGCUGAGGAGCGAAAGCGUGGGGAGCGAACAGGAUUAGAUACCCUGGUAGUCCACGCCGUAAACGAUGAGUGCUAAGUGUUAGGGGGUUUCCGCCCCUUAGUGCUGCAGCUAACGCAUUAAGCACUCCGCCUGGGGAGUACGGUCGCAAGACUGAAACUCAAAGGAAUUGACGGGGGCCCGCACAAGCGGUGGAGCAUGUGGUUUAAUUCGAAGCAACGCGAAGAACCUUACCAGGUCUUGACAUCCUCUGACAAUCCUAGAGAUAGGACGUCCCCUUCGGGGGCAGAGUGACAGGUGGUGCAUGGUUGUCGUCAGCUCGUGUCGUGAGAUGUUGGGUUAAGUCCCGCAACGAGCGCAACCCUUGAUCUUAGUUGCCAGCAUUCAGUUGGGCACUCUAAGGUGACUGCCGGUGACAAACCGGAGGAAGGUGGGGAUGACGUCAAAUCAUCAUGCCCCUUAUGACCUGGGCUACACACGUGCUACAAUGGACAGA
rnacentral:rRNA from 1 species